rnacentral:rRNA from 1 species
AGUGAACGCUGGCGGUAGGCCUAUCACAUGCAAGUCGAACGGCAGCACAGUAAGAGCUUGCUCUUACGGGUGGCGAGUGGCGGACGGGUGAGGAAUACAUCGGAAUCUACUUUUUCGUGGGGGAUAGCGUAGGGAAACUUACGCUAAUACCGCAUACGACCUACGGGUGAAAGCAGGGGAUCUUCGGACCUUGCGCGAUUGAAUGAGCCGAUGUCGGAUUAGCUAGUUGGCGGGGUAAAGGCCCACCAAGGCGACGAUCCGUAGCUGGUCUGAGAGGAUGAUCAGCCACACUGGAACUGAGACACGGUCCAGACUCCUACGGGAGGCAGCAGUGGGGAAUAUUGGACAAUGGGCGCAAGCCUGAUCCAGCCAUACCGCGUGGGUGAAGAAGGCCUUCGGGUUGUAAAGCCCUUUUGUUGGGAAAGAAAAGCAGCAGGUUAAUACCCCGCUGUUCUGACGGUACCCAAAGAAUAAGCACCGGCUAACUUCGUG